GAAAAUGGAUUUAAGUACACUGUAAAAACGAAAAUGUUGUGAAAACUCAAAAUUUCAAGGCAACUUACUGCACUAGAUUUGAGUUUUGAGGCCAACUCAAACUCCUACGUUUUGAAAA